GAUGAACGCUAGCGAUAGGCUUAACACAUGCAAGUCGAGGGGUAACGUGUUGGAAGCUUGCUUCCGAUGACGACGACCGGCGGAUGGGUGCGUAACGCGUAUGCAACUUGCCUCACAGUGGAGAAUAACCCGGAGAAAUCCGGACUAAUACUCCAUACACUCUUAAGUACGCCUGUACAUGAGAGGAAAGAUUUAUCGCUGUGAGAUAGGCAUGCGUCCUAUUAGGUAGUUGGUGAGGUAACGGCUCACCAAGCCGACGAUAGGUAGGGGUGCUGAGAGGCAGAUCCCCCACAUUGGGACUGAGACACGGCCCAAACUCCUACGGGAGGCAGCAGUGAGGAAUAUUGGUCAAUGGAGGAAACUCUGAACCAGCCAAGUCGCGUGAAGGAAGAAUGUCCUAAGGAUUGUAAACUUCUUUAGCGUGCGAGUAAGGACUUCCGCGUGAUGGGAGUUUGAAAGUAGCUCGAGAAUAAGUAUCGGCUAACUCCGU
rnacentral:rRNA from 1 species